ACGACGUGAAUUGACCCACUUGCGGCCAACUUGGCUCCACUAGCUCUUGUAUAGUUACACUAAGCUUUACUAACGUUUGCGUGUGCCCUCUGAAAAAAUAUGUCUGUAUUUCUAACGUUAAACUUUUUUGUCGAUCCGUCUGGAUUUUAAAUUUAUUACUUAAUCAUUUAAAUGAUUUCCCUUUCUGAAUUUCUACAAAUAACAUGGAAAGUUUGUGGCAAAAAUUUUACCAGAAUGUCCACACUAAACCAGUUAAAACACAAGUCAACUGAGUCUGAUCUUGAAGAAAUCUCUGAAUACAUUCCACCUAACUGUCAACAUUUACCAGCCAUUUCAUCCUCAUCGCAUCUCAUUAUCAUCAAAUUCUUUUUGAAUUUUAAAGUAUACUGUAAUUUCCAAUUGAACAGCAAGUGGCUCGAAACGGUCCCGCUUCGCGCCAACUUGUUACGGCUAGCAGACUGUCUGUAUGCGAAACAAUCCCGUUACUUGAUAUCGCGCAUUCAUUUAGUUUUCUAUUUCCUGGCUGCCACAACAACUUGUUUCGUUGUUGUUGUCGUUCAUCGUGCCCAACAAGUUUUUGUUUAAAUUAUAUUUAAAGCGUCAAUCGAAUCACCAAAAUUGGCACAGGGGAUUUUUUGUUUGUAUGUUAAUUUACUUUUCACCUGUAUGCAAAUGGCGAGCGUGUAGCAAGAUGGCCAAACACAACGAAUGGCUCUUUUGACAGAAGUACCGUUCCACACAAUUUACCUCUUUCCAACACACUGCUCUCCGCAUUUUUUUUUUCUUUCUUUUUAUAAGCGCAUUCAGAACGGAAAAAUGAAUGAUAUUGGGGGUACGAUUAGAAGCAGCAUCACAAACCCCAAUUGGUCUAAACUUAGACUUUUUUUUCCUCCAAAACCACGAAAAUAAAGAUACCAGAAGUUCACACAUAAAGUUCCGCUCUGUAUAACAUCUGAUAAUACCACGGAGAAAACUACGAUCGCUGAUGACAACAAAUAAUACAAUGAAAC